UACGGAGGGAGCUAGCGUUGUUCGGAAUUACUGGGCGUAAAGCGCGCGUAGGCGGCUUUGUAAGUUAGAGGUGAAAGCCCGGAGCUCAACUCCGGAACUGCUUUAAAACUGCAUCGCUUGAAUCCAGGAGAGGUGAGUGGAAUUCCGAGUGUAGAGGUGAAAUUCGUAGAUAUUCGGAAGAACACCAGUGGCGAAGGCGGCUCACUGGACUGG
rnacentral:rRNA from 1 species